rnacentral:ncRNA from 2 species
UACUGUUCGCCCGUUCCAGGUGUCACGGGGUCCUCGACCCCCUGAUGAAACGGGAAGCCGGUGAGCCCGCGGGCGAUUCCGGCGCUGCCCCCGCAACGGUAAUUGAGGGAGGCUGAACAGAUGCCACUGCGCCAGCGGCGUGGGAAGGCGUUCAGCCCGGAUCGGCGAUCCACCUCAUAAGCCCGGAGACCGGCCUGGAUGCAGACGCAGGU